rnacentral:rRNA from 1 species
GAGUUCAAGAGUACGUGAAACUGCUUAGAGGUUAAACCCGAUGAACCUGAAUAUCCGUUAUGAAAAAUUCAUCCAUUAAUACUAUAAUAUAUAUUUUUUUAUAUAUUAUAGAAAUAGUGUGCAAUUUUUUCAUAUAAGGACAUUGUAAUCUGUUAAGGGAUUAAAUAUUUAUCAAAAGAUCUAUAUUACUUAAGUUUAUUCAAAUUAGUUAUUUUCGAAUUUCUAACAUAGAAUAAAUGUAGUUGUAGAUUUGAUAAAUCGUUGACAGAUUUAAUUUAUAUAUAGUGCUUAAAUUUUAUUUAUAAAAUUUUGCAAUUUUGAUAUAAUCUUUUGAUUAUAUUUAUGAAUUGUAUGCACUUAUAUGAUUAACAAUGCGAUAGAUUUUCAGGAUACCCGGGACCCGUCUUGAAACACGGACCAAGGAGUCUAACAUAUGUGCAAGUCAUUGGAUAUUUUUAAUAAAAUCCAAAGGCAUAAUUAACUUAACUGUUUUAUAUAUGGGAUUAGUUUAUAUUUUAUUAUAAAAUAUGAAUUCAAUCCCGGGGCGUUCUAUAUAGUUAUGCAUAAUAAUAUUUAUAUUAUUUAUGCCUCUAACUAGAGC